ACAAACGUGUACUUCCCGAGGCUUAUUUGUCCAAGCUUCUGAGCAUGCGCGCACAAGAGCUGACUGCCUGGGACACGCCAUGCGCAACGGUAUCCCAGCCACAGUUCUUUGGGGAAAAAACAAAUAGCCCAGCUUGCUGGAAGUCCUAACUCCGUCCUCGGCUGCUAGGUCUUGGGGUGGUGUGGACUAGCAAUCUGAUGCCUUCAUCAGGCCUCGCUGCAGCUGAUGAAUAGCAAGACUGAACAGGCUAUUUUUGGACAUGGAAUAGUAUCCAAAUAUCGCACUCCAUCUGCAAUCUGUUACCAUCUUUGAAUUUGUUCAUCUAAUUCUGAGAGUUAGCCUGGAGUCUUGGAGAUGUGAACUGCAACCCCGAGCAUGCUUACAAGGAAACAAAAGGGCACUGAACUUUUUCCAAAUGUAGCUGAUGAUGGGUUCCAGUCUCAUUGCUCUGACACUGACUCAUUGUGUAGUCUUGGCUGGCUCAGCUUUUGCAGGCUUGGGCUCCAAUCCUAGAAAAAAACCCUGCUGAAGGCAGUGGGGUUUAUUUCUAAAUAAACCUGCACAGGGUUGGUGUGCCAGUGUGCAAAAUGAGAAUAAUAGUGACCUAGCUGAAAGGAUUCCAGCAAAAACCUUUGCCUUUUUAAAUGGUUUUUUAAUUUGUUUUUGUAAAUUUAUUAACAAUAAAAAAGAAAUGAAAUAAAAAGAGAAAGGAAAAAGAAAGGGAAAACCAACCAACCUUGUCAGCUUGCCUUAACAAACAUUAAUACAUCCAUCUUAAUUUGCACAUACAAAUUGAUAUGUUCCAUACAAAGGCUGACUAGAUAUCCAAACGAAAUGGGUGUUUAUAGAUUACGUUCAUAUAAAGCAAUGGGUGUUAAGGUCUUCAAACCAUUGUGUAAUAGAAGGUGAGUGUUUAUCCUUCCAGGGUCAAUGAAACCUUUGACUUAAUCUCCAAAUGAAACAGAGCCAGUUAAUGCAACUGCACAUUAACACCUCCACUCCCGCCAGUGCUUGAAUUACAGGGACCUGUUUGGAACACCCCAUUAGCUAUGAGUGUCAGAAGACUAUUAUUAUUACUUAUUUUUAAAAUUUAUAUCCGUCCCUUCCUCCCAGAAGGAGCCCAGGACAGCAAACAAAUUCACUAAAAGCACUCUAAAACAUCUUGAAAACAAAAUACUUUAAAACAUAUUAAAACAAAGUAUCUUUACAUCUUUUAAAAACAUCUUUAAAAACGUUCUUUCAUCCAUCAUUUGUAUGCCGCCUUUCCACAAAAAAAUUGUGCUCAAGGCAACAAGGUGAACAGACAUACAUCUCCAACACAAUUGCAAAAACAAUUUCCUAAUAACAAACGAAAUAAAACAGUAACAACAACAAAUAUAACAGCAUAUAAACAUAAUAUUAUGAACAUAAUAAACAGUCUAUCAAUCAUAAAGAUUUAACAAUCAUUUUAAAAAGCAGUUCCAACACUGGGAUAAGGUCUCUACUUAAAAGGCUUAUUGAAAGAGGAAGAUCUUCAGUAGGCACCAAAAGGUAACAGAGAUGCCACCUGUCUAGUAUUUAAGGGGAGGGAAUUCCAAUUGAUUGGUGCCACUACACUAAUGGUCCGCUUCCUAUGAUGUGCGGAACGGACCUCCUGAUAACAGGAUACCUUAUUUGCAAGGUAGAUAUCUUGGUAUUCCAUAUGACCAAAGGAUAUGUAUAGCCGGUUGUACUGUCCCUGACGAUGUAUUUCAUUAUAUCUUAGACUGCCAAUUGUUUGAUUAUCCAAGGGCAAAAUUUUUAUUUUCAAUUCUCGAUACAUUAACUAAUUUUAAUAGUUUUCAGAAAGUAAUUUUUCUUUUAUCUUCGCCCCAGCCGGACGUAGUAAUUUCUACAGCUAAUUUUGCCUUGGCCGCUAAGAAACUCAGAACCAGUUUUAUUAAGACAAAUAGUUAAAAAUUAAAUUUUUCACAUUUUAAUCAUGAAAUGUAUCUAUGCUAAAUGUUAUGAUUGUACUGCUCUUUUGUAACAGCCUAUGGCUAUAUACAAAUGAAAUGAAAUGAAAUGAUAACAUCAUACAUACAUACAUAUUUUAACCACUUCUGUGCUGGAUCCUUGCCCCUCUUGGCUAGUGAAAGCUGGCAGGGUUGGAACAGCCAGCUGGGCCAGGGAAGUGAUAAAUGCCUCCUUGAGAGAGGGAGUGGUCCCUAGUCGUUUAAAAGAGUCGGUAGUGAGACCACUCCUGAAGAAACCUUCCCUGGACCCAGAUAAUUUGAACAACUAUAGACCGGUAGCGAAUGUCCCAUUCCUGGGCAAGGUCUUAGAGCGGGUGGUUGCCAGCCAGCUCCAGGUGCUCUUGGAUGAAACCGAUUAUCUAGAUCCAUUUCAAUCCGGUUUUAGGCCCGGUUUUGGCACAGAAACAGCCUUGGUCACCCUGUAUGAUGACCUAUGUCGGGAGAGGGACAGAGGGAGUGUUACUCUGUUGAUUCUCCUUGAUCUCUCAGCUGCUUUUGAUACCAUCGACCAUGGUAUCCUUCUGGGGAGACUCACGGAGUUGGGAGUUGGUGGUACUGCUUGGCAGUGGCUCCACUCCUACUUGGUGGACUGUCUCCAGAAGGUAGGGCUUGGGGAACACUGUUCGAUACCCAGGACUCUCCAUUGUGGAGUCCCGCAGGGAUCUUUUUAACAUCUACAUGAAGCCGCUGGGUGCAGUCAUCAGGAGCUUUGGAGUGCAUUGUCACCAGUAUGCUGAUGACACGCAACUCUAUUUCUCCUUCUCAUCUUCCUCCGGUGAGGCUGUUGAUGUGCUGAACCGUUGCCUGGCCGUGAUAAUGGACUGGAUGAGAGCUAAUAAACUGAGGCUCAAUCCUGACAAGACCGAGACGCUGUUGGUGAGUGCCUUCUCUGCCCAGAUGGUGGAUGUUCAACCUGUUCUAGAUGGGGUUACACUCCCCCUGAAGGAACAGGUUCAUAGCUUGGGGGUUCUUUUCGUUCCAUUCCUGUCUCUUGAGGCUCAGGUGGCCUCGGUGGCACGGAAUGCGUUCUAUCACCUUUGGUUGGUAGCCCAGCUACGUCCCUAUCUCGAUAGCGACGACCUCGCUUCAGUUGUGCAUGCUCUGGUAACCUCUAGAUUGGAUUACUGCAAUGCGCUCUACGUGGGGCUGCCUUUGAAGACAGUUCGGAAACUACAGCUAGUGCAAAACGCAGCAGCUAGACUGUUGACGAGGACCAGGCGAUCCGCCAUAUAACACCUGUUCUGGCUCGUUUGCACUGGCUACCUAUUUGUUUCCAGGCCAAAUUCAAAGUGCUAGUUUUGACUUAUAAAGCCUUACACAGCGCGGGACCACAAUACCUAGCGGAACGCCUCUCCCGAUAUGAACCCACCUGGUCACUACGUUCAACAUCAAAGGCCCUCCUCCGAGUUCUGACCCACAGAGAAGCUCGGAGGGUCGUUACAAGAUCUAGGGCCUUUUCAGUGGUUGCCCCCGAAUUAUGGAACAGCCUUCCCGAUGAGGUGCACCUGGCGCCUACACUUUUAUCCUUUCGGCGCCAGGUUAAAACCUUUUUAUUCUCCCAGGCAUUUUAAUCUAUUAUCUUAAUCUAUUUUUAGCUCUUAAUGUAUACCAGGUUGUUUAAUUGUUAAUAUGUAUGCUUUUACUGUUUCUUGUGAUUCUAUUGUAUUUUAUUCCCUGUUGUGCACCGCCC